GAACGCUGGCGGCGUGCUUAACACAUGCAAGUCGAACGGAAAGGCCAGUGCUUGCACUGGURCUCGAGUGGCGAACGGGUGAGUAACACGUGGGUGAUCUGCCUUGCACUCUGGGAUAAGCUUGGGAAACUGGGUCUAAUACCGGAUAUGAACUGCCUUUAGUGUGGUGGUUGGAAAGUUUUUUCGGUGCAAGAUGAGCUCGCGGCCUAUCAGCUUGUUGGUGGGGUAAUGGCCUACCAAGGCGUCGACGGGUAGCCGGCCUGAGAGGGUGUACGGCCACAUUGGGACUGAGAUACGGCCCAGACUCCUACGGGAGGCAGCAGUGGGGAAUAUUGCACAAUGGGCGGAAGCCUGAUGCAGCGACGCCGCGUGGGGGAUGACGGCCUUCGGGUUGUAAACUCCUUUCGACAGGGACGAAGCGYAAGUGACGGUACCUGUAUAAGAAGCACCGGC
rnacentral:rRNA from 1 species